UUUCCUAUUUUUUUCAGAAUCAUGUUGUCUAAUUGCAGAUCAUUUGCUUCAGAAUUUUCCCGUCGCUGUUUGACAUCAAGUAUUUUUUGCAACAAUGAUAAUAAUCAGCAGGUUUAUUUGUUUGUACAGAACCGAUGUGUGCAUCAAGCCUCUAAAAUGUCUGAAACAACCCAUUUAACGAACAAGAUGGUUCGGAUGAAACGAAUGAAUAUGUUUGACGCUGAAAAGAAAAGACAAAUGAAUUUAGUUUCCAGAAUAGAGAAGAUCGCAGUACAGUACGAGGGACAGCCUGAGGAUGCGCUGCUGUACAUGAACAAGAACCUAUCUACGCCGUACAACGUGUGCCAGCAUCUGGGGGAGAUGUUGAUUGAUAGAUCUGCAUUGGCCCUGGUAAACGGUCAGCUCUGGGAUAUGAACAGACCGCUGGUUGAAGACUGUACACUAAAACUUCUACAUUUUCACUGCGAUGAACCAUUUCAUGUCAACAAAGCUUUUUGGAGAUCUUGCUCUUUUAUGCUCAGUGCUGCCGUAGAGAGAGCAUUCAAAGACGACAUUUACGUCGAGCUUCACAGUUUUCCUGCUCCCAACGUGGCGAGUGGAAGUUUUGUGUGCGACGUUGAUCUUAAGUUAGGCCAUGACUGGACACCAACUAAACAGGAGAUGAUGGUUUUUUCUUCAAUAAUGCACAAACUGGCAGAGGAAAACCUACCCUUUGAGCGGCUAGUGGUUGACCCUAAGCUGGCAGCAGAGAUGUUUAAAGAUAACAAAUAUAAAUCGGCUCAGAUCCCAAAUAUUGCGGAGAACUACGAAAAUAAGAUAACAUUAUAUAAGAUUGGAGAUCACGUGGAUAUUUCUGGUGGUCCCAUGGUCGGCAGCACCAAAUUCUUAGGGCGAAGAUGUACAGUGCCCGUUGCCCACAAAAUAUCACAUAACAAUGUAUCUAUGUACAGAUUCCAGGGUGUAGCACUGCCAAAGGAUAUGUACCUGAACCACGUGGCUUUCCACAUACUGGAGGAGAGAGCAGCUCAGCUCAACCCUGCAGGAUUACAUACAACUCAACCUGUAAAUCUUAGUUAAACCUCAUCCUCCCAUUCUGCAAGAUGACAUACAACUCGACCUGUAAAUCUUAGUUAAACCUCAUCCUCCCAUUCUGCAAGAUGACAUACAACUCGACCUGUAAACCUUAGUUAAACGUAAACCUCUUCCUUCCAUUCUGCAACUCAACCUGUAAACUCAACCUCAUCCUUACACCUGUAAACCUUGGUUAAACCUCCACAUUUAAAACCUAGACAUUUUGGCUAAAUAACUUCCAUCUAAUCAAUGAAAAUACAGCUUUAAGAUCAAUGGAGAGGGGUAUUCCUGUUUCAGAACAAUGCAGGUUAAAUGGUACUGUUGUGAAUCAGGCAGGCUACUCUAUAAAGAAAUGGUGUCCUAAAAUAAUGUGUUUAGUCCCUUGAAAACCAAGUGUGUUCAUAUGAAGUAAUUUUGUCUCAAUGCUCAUACAAAAAGGUCAAAUUU
rnacentral:misc_RNA from 1 species